rnacentral:ncRNA from 2 species
GAUGCUUGCCACGGGAGCCCAGUCGGGCUGAGAGGGCGGAAGAGCCGCCGACCGUUGGAACCUGAUCCGGCUCGUACCGGCGGAGGGAGGCAGUAUGAACACCAU